AUCGCUAUGACACCAAUCACAGUGAUGAUGAUGGUCAUCGACGUGUGCCAGGGGUUCUUCUCUUUCAUCUCUGAGAGCGGGGGCGGAAAUACAGACAGACAGAUGGGACAGAAAGUAGGUGCCGCUGGCUGGACAAGGUCGAGGGGUGACAGGUGUGGCUCAUUGACUCAUCAGCUGGGGAGCUUAAAGAAGAUGGUUUGCCAACACUUCGUUGCCUGAGUGCUUUGCCCUCCGUGGUACUGGUUUCCAAUUGGUCAAAGCCGAACCCUGAAUCAUCGUUUUCGUGUCCGGACCUCCUCCUGAACCUGGACUGAACCUGGCUGGCGAUCUGAGAUCCCCUGGAUCAGCUGUAAUAUUAACUUUCAGGCAUUGUUGG